GUGUCAGCCGCCGCGGUAAGACAGAGGGUGCAAACGUUGUUCGGAUUUACUGGGCGUAAAGCGUGUGUAGGCGGCUUCGCAAGUUGGAUGUGAAAUCCCACGGCUCAACCGUGGACGUGCAUCCAAAACUGCGUCGCUGGAGUCUCGGAGAGGAAGGUGGAAUGCUUGGUGUAGAGGUGAAAUUCGUAGAUAUCAAGCAGAACACCUGCGGCGAAGGCGGCCUUCUGGACGAUGACUGACGCUGAGACACGAAAGCGUGGGGAGCAAACAGGAUUAGAAACCCUCGUAGUCC
rnacentral:rRNA from 1 species